GUGGGGAAUAUUGCACAAUGGGGGAAACCCUGAUGCAGCGACGCCGCGUGAGCGAAGAAGUAUUUCGGUAUGUAAAGCUCUAUCAGCAGGGAAGAAAAAAUGACGGUACCUGACUAAGAAGCACCGGCUAAAUACGUGCCAGCAGCCGCGGUAAUACGUAUGGUGCAAGCGUUAUCCGGAUUUACUGGGUGUAAAGGGAGCGCAGGCGGUACGGCAAGUCUGAUGUGAAAGCCCGGGGCUCAACCCCGGUACUGCAUUGGAAACUGUCGGACUAGAGUGUCGGAGGGGUAAGUGGAAUUCCUAGUGUAGCGGUGAAAUGCGUAGAUAUUAGGAGGAACACCAGUGGCGAAGGCGGCUUACUGGACGAUUACUGACGCUGAGGCUCGAAAGCGUGGGGAGCAAACAGG
rnacentral:rRNA from 1 species